GUUCAGAUGAUGAGUUCAAGACAGGACGAAACGCUACUUCCUAGAU
rnacentral:hammerhead_ribozyme from 1 species